rnacentral:rRNA from 1 species
GACAGCAGCCGCCGCGGUAACACGUAGGUGGCAAGCGUUGUCCGGAAUUAUUGGGCGUAAAGGGCUCGCAGGCGGUUUCUUAAGUCUGAUGUGAAAGCCCCCGGCUCAACCGGGGAGGGUCAUUGGAAACUGGGAAACUUGAGUGCAGAAGAGGAGAGUGGGAUUCCACGUGUAGCGGUGAAAUGCGUAGAGAUGUGGAGGAACACCAGUGGCGAAGGCGACUCUCUGGUCUGUAACUGACGCUGAGGAGCGAAAGCGUGGGGAGCGAACAGGAUUAGAUACCCCCGUAGUCCCUGUCUCUUAUAC